UUAAUACACACCGAAAUAAUUUAAAGAAUUUAUUCAAAAUUUUCCCUCUUGUCGUUUUUCCUUGUCCGCCGUAUUGAAUCAGCAAUUUUGUAUUUUCAUGAUGAACAACUAGAGAAAAGGUUUUUAAUUACAAUUGUUUGUUCAAAAUACUUAAACUCUGGUGUCUUGUUUAUUUUCAAUCCAAUUCCGAUGUUCUUGGGCCCAUUCGUCCUUGAGGCCUCGAUGUAUAAAAUUAAGAAAACCGAUAUUCUCAGACUCAAUCCCGAAGCUGAAAACAAUUCGUCCCAGUUAAGAAGAUCAAAGCGGAGCGUUUUGAACCUCUGCUACGUGCUAUCUUGUGCAACCGGGUGUGACCCCUUUGAUUACUACGGAUACGGAUGUUACUGCGGUUAUUCAGGAUCAGGAUAUCCCGUAGACGGUAUUGACAGGUGUUGUAUGUAUCACGAUUGGUGCUAAGAUGUAGCCGACUACUGGCCUUCGUGGUUGAUGUACCUCGUUUAUUACCGCUGGAAAUGCCAUCACGGCUAUCUACCGAUAUGCGAUUACAAGCGGGGGUGGGGCCAAAGUUUGUGCGAAUGCGAUCGUGAGUUGGCAAUAUGUCUGAGUUCGUAUCCUUGCCCAACUACCCAACCUGAAUGCUGGUCUUAAGCCUAGAGACUGGUGCAAAAUUUAUUUAUGGUUAUGUAAAGUUGAACUACAGAUAUAGAAUUUAACGAACCUAUUUAAUUUAAGACUAUUUAAGACUAAUAAAACCUAAUCAAACCUAUACACAUACAUAUUAGGGGUGAUUUGGAAAAAAAUUUUUUUUUAUCCUUCCAAACAGGUUCGAAAGUUUCAUUUAGGUAUACAAAGACACCAGUUAAAAUUUCAGAUUAUAAUAUUAAUAUUAAGGGGUGGCUCAUCGCACUUUUCGAUUUUCCAUAAGAAUAACAUAGGAAAAAUGUUGUUUGCUUCUUCUAGUAUGCUGUUAAACAAAGCGUGUGCUGGAUUAUAGCCAUA